rnacentral:rRNA from 1 species
CAAGAGCGUAUAUUAAAGUUGCUGCGGUUAAAAAGCUCGUAGUUGGAUUUCAGUCUAGGAAGGUUAACUCGCCGAAAGGUUGUACGUUGAUUUUCCUCAGACUUCGUCAGAAGCUCGUGCUGCACUUAACUGUGUGGUACGAUGUUCUGACCUUUUACCUUGAGGAAAGUAGAGUGUUUCAGGCAGGCUACCCAGCUUGAAUACAUUAGCAUGGAAUAAUGAAAUGGAUCUCGGUUCGAUUUCGUUGGUUCUAGAGCUGAGGUGAUGAUCAAUAGGAACAGGCGAAGGUAUUCGUACUUGAGAGUGAGGAGUGAAAUCCGAUGAUCUCUUAAAGACGAUCCGAGGCGAGAGCAUUUGUCAAGGAUGUUUUCAUUGA